GCGGUUAUGGCCGAGUGGUUAAGGCGACAGACUUGAAAUCUGUUGGGCAUCGCCCGCCUAGGUUCAAACCCUAGUGACCGCG